GUACACGCUGUGACUAGCAUAUCAAUAAGCGGAGGAAAAGAAACUAACAAGGAUUCCCCUAGUAACGGCGAGUGAAGCGGGAAGAGCUCAAAUUUGAAAUCUUAAAGGGUUUCCCUUUACGAAUUGUAGUUUAAAGAAGUGUUUUCUGUUGAGGUUUUGGUAAAAGUUCUUUGGAAUAGGACAUCAUAGAGAGUGAGAAUCCCGUAUUUGACCUUUACUUUCAACUUUGUGAUACACUUUCAAAGAGUCGGAUUGUUUGGGAAUGCAGUCCAAAAUGGGUGGUAAAUUUCAUCUAAAGCUAAAUAUUGGCGAGAGACCGAUAGCGAACAAGUACCGUGAGGGAAAGAUGAAAAGAACUUUGAAAAGAGAGUUAAACAGUACGUGAAAUUGUCAAAGGGGAGCGUUUGACACCAGUGUUGUUUUUCUGAAAAUCAAUUAAAGAACUGUUUAUGCUAAGCUGUUUAGACUUUAUCAGCUAUCUGUUUAGUUUUGAGCUUUUCUUUAAUGCACUUUUCAGUUAACAAGUCAACAUCAAUUUCUUUUGCUGUAAAAAAGCUUGAGGAAGGUGGCUUGAGAUUCGUUUAAGUGUUUAUAGCCUCUUGCCUAUGCAGUCGGGAGAGAUUGAGGUCUGCAGCGUAGAUCCUUCGGGGCUAAAUGCAUUUGUGCUAAGUUAUAGCAUUUUAUAGACAACUUGUUGACUAUGAUUUGUCUUGUAGCUUACUCGCUUAUGUUAUUUUACCUACGCUUAGGAUGUUGAAGAUGUAGCACAUCAU
rnacentral:rRNA from 1 species